UGCUUUUUAGAUUUGGGGGGAAUAAUUUCACUCCCGCUGCGACGCGAACGAAAGAGACCUAUAGGCAUCGCUCUGCAGGUAUCCCGCCAGCGCCGCCGUGAGAUCGGCCGCCAUCCACUCGAAAACCCUAAUUCUGAUCACCGCACCGUCAACAAGAUUCUCUCUUCUCUCUUCAAGGGCUAUCGUCUCCGCAUUGGGAACCCGCAUUGGGAACUGUUGAGUCUUUAAUGCCUCUUCACAGCGCGAUCGGCGUUGAUUCCUCUUGCUGGACUUGCCUCUCUCAAGUGAGGAGUUGAUCAUUCUUGUUCCUGUAAGCGGUAUUCAAAGAAGGGUGGGAGCGCUUCUGAUCUUAUCCCUGAUUAUUUAUAGAUUGCGACUUCAAACCUCACAAUGCAGAAUGUUCCCUGACAUUAUAAUGUCAAACAAAUUUUGGAAGCUUUGGCCAUCAAAAGCAAGGGCAAACAUGAAGUUGUUUGAGAACUUUUGUUCACUUGUGCUUCCUUCUCCAUGCGAAGGUGCCGCGGAUGAGAGAUUGGAAAGGAGACUUCGCCGGGCGGCUAAAAGUGUCGGACUCCAGGAGCUUGCAAAUAAGAGCGCUGAUGCCACUGGGGAUUGCCUUCCUCAUGCCCUCUAAACUCAGAAGCCACUGGGAAAUGUACCUUUUGUCGGUUAUCUACUGAUGUUCUACCUCAUAAAACUAAGUUGUUUUGUUUCUAAGUAUGUUUUCUUCCUGAAAUUUAGUAUGUAAGUAUGUAUCUUUGUGCUAUCUAGUUGAGGUUCCGUUAUGGGUCCAGUUUGGUAGGUGACGACACAGGUCCGCUCCUUACCUGCUUCACCCUAUGUGGUUCUUCAACUAGUAUUGUAGUAGUUAUGUUUAUUAAUAAAAUCUUUAAUGAGCAGGGCUUUUUACCCUGCUUUUCAGCUCAAAAAAAAUACGUCUUAACCAAAGCGAAGGAAAACUUCAAAAUCUUCAAACGGCAGGGAAGUUCGACAAAAGAUCUUUCGACCUUUUGCUGUGUAAAAAUUCUAUAGGACCUCUUGUUUGAAUCACUAUUCUUGUU